CCUUAAAGUUUAUUUGUACAGUGGGGAAGCCGAGGCUCCCGCUCGCUCUCCCUGCCUCUUGCCUCUUUCUUUCUCUUUCUCUUUCCCUUUCUUUCUGCCUGGAGCUUUUCAGGAUGGUCCCACCGAGCCAGAGAGGCAGGAUCAACCACUAAUGAUCCAGGUUGCCUGCAAAUUCCCCCCCCCCCAUCCCUUCACUCGCAGCAGCUAGCUCUCUAUUUUAACGAUCAAAUCAAAGUAAACCACAAUAAGCGACUUUGGCAGAGAUGGAUUUUGGGGCCUAGCUUUAAUCACUUUGACUACCACAGAAGAUAAUUACUUCCUUUGCUCCUAUAGACUCUCCAAGUUUGGAGAGGUUUUGUUUAGCAAAGAGUAGUUACUGAAGGCAAUUAAAAAAAGGGGGAAACAAAAUAGAUAGGGCUUGAUAUUAUCUGGGCUGUAUUUUAUGCAGGCAUGAUAGAUCGGAAGAGUAC